rnacentral:rRNA from 1 species
GACGAACGCUGGCGGCGUGCUUAACACAUGCAAGUCGAGCGAGAAAAGUUCUUCGGAGCUUUUCUAGCGGCGGACGGGUGAGUAACACGUGGGCAACCUGCCUCAUAGAGGGGAAUAGCCUUCCGAAAGGAAGAUUAAUACCGCAUAACAUUGUUGAAAGGCAUCUUUUAACAAUCAAAGGAGCAAUCCGCUAUGAGAUGGGCCCGCGGCGCAUUAGCUAGUUGGUGAGGUAACGGCUCACCAAGGCGACGAUGCGUAGCCGACCUGAGAGGGUGAUCGGCCACAUUGGAACUGAGACACGGGCCAGACUCCUACGGGAGGAAGCAGUGGGGAAUAUUGCACAAUGGGGGAAACCCUGAUGCAGCAACGCCGCGUGAGUGAUGAAGGUCUUCGGAUUGUAAAGCUCUGUCUUUAGGGACGAUAAUGACGGUACCUAAGGAGGAAGCCACGGCUAACUACGUGCCAGCCGCCGCCGUAAAAC